rfam:Triticum aestivum genome assembly, contig: Triticum_aestivum_CS42_TGACv1_scaffold_094099_2AL
AUAGUACUCCCUCCGUUUCAAAUUAUUCGUCGGAGAAAUGGAUGUAUUUAGAACUAAAAUACAUCUAGAUACAUCCAUAUCUGUGACAAAUAAUUCGGAACGGAGGGAGUACAAC